GGAGUUGUGGCUCAGUGGUAGAGCACUUGCCUAGCAUGUGUGAGGGCACUGGGUUCAAUCCUCAGCACCA
rfam:Ictidomys tridecemlineatus contig076252, whole genome shotgun sequence.